rnacentral:lncRNA from 1 species
UUUUUUCUCCUGACGUCAUCGAUAUAUAGUACUCGACAGCGAAAAUCAGCUAGCCGAAUCACUCAGUCUGGAAACAACCGCGCAAUAGAUCGGACGUAUGAGAACCGCGCUCCGCAGAUUUCGAGCACCGGGUACUAUACCUCCUGGAUCGUGCGCCCCGGGUCCGCUUCCUGGUGCAACUCGAGUUCCAGGACAAGUGUUCCGUGGUUUCUACGCUCCAGGUCCUUUAUGUGCUGAAUUUCGACCUCCAGGAGAAAUGCUCCGUGGUUCCUCGCUAUAUUCCAUAUUGUUCCAGAUAUAGCCGAAGAAUUAGAUCUUGACAUUCUGAUAAACGAAUCCAUCAACCUCAACAACUGUAGAAAGGCAACUUUCGGUACAUCAAGGUCUCGUGCCGUGCACCAGCCGGAGCUACGAUACUCUUUCUACAACAGCCGUGCUGACAAAAACGGGAGUGCUUCUUCACUUUACGCGUCAUCCUCCGUCCGCGGAGAUGGAACCGUCCUCCGAAAUAGCGGAAUGGUACCGUGGAAGAUCGAUCUUUAUUACCGGAGCAACAGGAUUCGUUGGAAAAGUGUUGGUCGAGAAGCUUUUGCGUUCCUGCCCGGACAUCGGAACGAUCUUUUUGUUGAUCCGUGACCAGAAGGUCACACGAAAAAUAAAAUAUUCACAAUGGAGUUAGUCCCUACUCGGUGUUAUUAGCUUCAAUUAAGUUUGGUUCUAAAAUGUUCGCAAAUAAUUUGCGGUUUUUUCGAAAAUGUAAUAAAUCUCAGAUUAGUCAAGUCCAGUAUGCUGGUUUGUACCUACAUCGUUAGUACAAAUCUAUUCAUUGUCAGUUAGUGGAAGGAAUUUGACCACGAAUAUCUCUUUUCCGUGCUUUGCAACUAGGAUAUUGUAAAACACGCGUAUGUGAAAUAUCGUGAGAAUAAAUUUUGAAUUCUACUUUCAAGAACACUGUAUUGGAAUCGAACCUUACGUUUCAGAUGGAUAUUAUUUCAGUUCACACCGUCCAUUAUCUCAAAACUUUAACGCGUCAACUGGUAUUUUAUCAUGUACUCGUAUACGUCUAAAAAAACAAACCGUUCCGAUCUGGUAUUGUAUCAUGUAUAAUUCGAAUAACUUAUUCAAAUUUUAACCGAUUCCCAUAAAAAUUGAUGUACAACCGUUUUUUGGAAUGCUGUAUCCAAAUAUAGCCUCGGAAUGAUGAAAUUCAAAAUGUGAGUCUCAAAGUGGCGUUAGUAAGAAUGGUAAUUUUUUCAGUAACUUUGAUAAAAUUCGAAUUUGUGGCCUGCAAGUGGUGUCAUUGGAUAAGUAUCUCUUUAACCGUUUCCAGUUAUUACUCCCGUAGUUGACUGGUGAAGUCACGGAAAAAUCGGCGAACGAAUUUCAGGCACAAGUCGAUAACGCAAAUCCAUAAUGGCUAUCCGUUACUCGGCAAGCCUUUACUCAAUUAGUCUCGGAAAUCGGUCGCGAGGAUAUAAGCAGCGCUUAACGUUCCACAUCCAGGCCACGAAUUCUCCAACACCCUCGUGUUUCUUUGGCAACAUCGUCGCAACAAUCCACGCAAAUGCUAAAAAUUCGAAAUCGUCAGACGGUCUCUGCCGUGCCACGUCGCCAGAACAAGAGUGAUUUCAAAAUUGACGACCUGCCGCAACACCGAUCUCGGUACGCUGCUUCCUACGUGACGUCAUACCCGCAAGAAUAGGCAACAAUUGAUCCGUCAUCGAUCUCGUAGAUUGCGCAACUCGACGGGCGCCGUUUUUAAUAUAAUAAUACUGUAAUAUAAUAAACACGUUGUUUUAUUCA